rnacentral:rRNA from 1 species
AACGAACGCUGGCGGCAGGCUUAACACAUGCAAGUCGAACGGAUCCUUCGGGAUUAGUGGCAGACGGGUGAGUAACGCGUGGGAACGUACCCUUUGCUACGGAAUAACUCAGGGAAACUUGAGCUAAUACCGUAUGUGCUCUACGGGGGUAAGAUGUAUCGGCAAAGGAUCGGCCCGCGUUGGAUUAGCUAGUUGGUGGGGUAAUGGCCUACCAAGGCGACGAUCCAUAGCUGGUCUGAGAGGAUGAUCAGCCACACUGGGACUGAGACACGGCCCAGACUCGUACGGGAGGCAGCAGUGGGGAAUAUUGGACGAUGGGCGCAAGCCUGAUCCAGCCAUGCCGCGUGAGUGAUGAAGGUCUUAGGAUUGUAAAGCUCUUUCACCGGUGAAGAUAAUGACGGUAGCCGGAGAAGAAGCCCCGGCUAACUUCGUG